rnacentral:ncRNA from 2 species
UACUUAUCAAGAGUGGUUGAGGGACAGGGCCCUGUGACACCCGGCAACCGGCGUUUUACGCAUCGGUGCCAAUUCCCCCGUUUGUUAAACGGAAGAUGAGAA